GAACGAUAAAAUAAAGGCUGACUUAAUGGUGAAAUCGAGCGAAGAUCCGAGCUCCGCUUCGCAAUUUCAGUUCCGGCUUCUCCAUUCGCAUUCACAGUCUUUCACCACUGAAAGCAAUGAAAAUCAAAGCAGCCGUUGUCACAUGGCGAAAAAAUGUUUCCAACUCAUUAGGGAGGCCGCCUCUUCUCUUUCUUCAUUUGAUCACAUCAAUACUCGCCUCGAUCUCUCCCAUUCGACUUCCGCCACUCCCUCCUUGAAGCACAUGGCAGAAAGAGAGAAUGGGGAGGCUCAGACAAGUGGAAGAGCAGAUGUCCCUGAACAUGAUAAAGACCUUCCCUAUCCUUUACUUGAAUCCCAGCAUCACGAAGGUGUUAAGCUAAUAGCAAAGCAAAGAGGAAGAAGAAUGCCAGUCCGGAGCUCAGAAGUCAAAUUCUGAGUCUCCCACUGCACUGAAUGGUGCUGGUUCCAACUGUCGAUAUGAUAGUUCAUUAGG